UGUUGGGGGGGGGGGCGGUCUCUUCAUUCAGAGCGCGUUUUAAUAUUUGGUGCAGAAAACCCGGACAAGGGUACUCGUUUGGGGAGACCAGCCCCCUGUCCCCUCUUCCCCCUCUGGGAAGAGACCCACCUGAGACCUCAACACAUCAGACCAGCUCAGCAGCUCCCGCUUAGCGUGAGGAACAGCCACCUUCAGAUUGGCUAUCUCCUUCUAGUAGAGACAAAGGAGACACUCUAUCCGUGUGGAGCCAGAGGAGACAAGUCUCUCCCUCUAGCUCACAAACUCUGACGUGGUCAUGGACUCUGGAAGACAGUCUUCCCUUGGGGUCUGGUCAAUCGCAGGGACGCCUGCCUUGAUCACUUCCACAUUACAGUCCAAGAAUCAGUCAGGGAUGCCUACUGCAAACCCUGGUAGCUGCUCGCCCCUUCUCCUAGUCUCUACUCUUUUCCUUAAAACUUAUCUCCUUCACUAGGGGCAGUAUUCCGCCCUCUAUUCCUCAGCCUUCGCCUCUAGCCUGUGUCCUAAAAAACCUAAAACCUCUUCAACUGUCGCCCGAUCUGAAACCUAAAAGUCUCAUUUUUUCUGUAAUACAGCCUGCCCUCAAUACAAAUUAGACAAUGGUUCCGAAUGGCCAGAAAACUGUUCACUGGGCCAGGGCGAGCCCACAGCCUGGGGCUCCAUCCUGCUUCAAAUGCCACAAGCUUGGACAUUGGGCUAACGAAUGCUCACAGCCCAAGGCUCCUUCCAAGCCGUGUCCUGUCCUUGGGGGACCCCACUGGAAAUCGGACUGUAUGGCUCAUAUUAUAGCCACUCCCAAGGCUCCUGGAGUUCAAAUCCAAUAUUCUCCAGCUGACUCCUUUCCAGAACUUCUCAGCUUAGCAACUGAAGAUUGACGCUACCGGACUGCUUCGGAAGCCCCCUGGACCAUCACAGACUGAGCUUCAGGUUUCUGAGCUGCCCCCAAGCCCACUCAAAGAAGCCCUGAGAAACAUUGCCCCAUCACCCCUCUGGGCUGGCCUUCCUAAUAUUCCUCUGCCCUCACUCUUCAUUUCUUUUUCCUUUAUAGUACAAAUAUAAAAAGACAGGAAUGUAAGGUCUUUUAGGCUGACUGACGGUGUCAUAUGGUGACCCCCGGAAGACCAUGAAAAGAGGAAGAUGAUCAAUCCCUGCAGCGCCUAACUAACUUGAGACAUUCUUCUAUUGUUUCUUGUUCCAGCCCCAAUUGAUAAGACCAUUGGACUUUGUAACUGACCUUCGUCAACCUCAUGACUCCAGACCCUGCAACCCCCUCCCAGCUUGCAAAAAACUACCCUAAACUGUAACUGUUGCUCACACAAAACUUGUUUGGGGAGUCUCUUCAUUCAGAGCGCGAGUUUUAACAGGCUGUGUGUUAUUACCCACAGCUG